rnacentral:lncRNA from 1 species
AAUAGACAAUUGAGAGAGUUUCUGAGAAAGUGAUUAUCAACUCUGUGCAACUCACUACUGAUAAUAAUUUUAACUCUAUAUCUUUGAACAACUUUGACAAAAGGGCAUUGGCAAUUUAUUUUUGGCUGAAGAUCAAAGGUAUGACAGCAGCAUGCAGGAUGAGGAGGAAGACUUUCCUGAAGAAUAUGUUCAAUUGAAGCCUUUGGAUAAAGAGAAAACUCCUUUUCCAUGUGAAGCACCAGCAAAGAAAGAAAUAAAAACCUUUGGCACAGAACUAGAUAAAAAUUUGUCAUCAGAGGAAGAGCAAGGAUGGCUUGAUGACUGUGAAGAGGAACAUCCAAAGGAGCCUCCACCAAAGGGCAUUGUGCAUUUAUCCAUGCCUAAAGAUGAGGGAGGAGUCAAUGUCGUAGGUGUCAUAAGCAGCCAAGAGAAAGGUUUUCCUGCUGAAUAUCCCGUAUUAAAGGCUUCCAUAGAGAAGCAAUAUUUUGUGCCAACUGAAGACUCAAUAUUGAAUCAGGAAAAAUCAUUCUUGUCAGGUAAAUUUAUCUCCCUGAAACAAGUCCUUACGAAUAUUUGAAAUGUCCAGUCUUUUAUUCCCUACAACAUAGUUCUCUAAUUUAGUGAAAG